rnacentral:rRNA from 1 species
GACGUAGGUGGCGAACGUUAUCCGGAAUUAUUGGGCGUAAAGGGUGCGUAGGUGGUCUGAUAAGUUAUCAGUGGCAAAUCGAGGCUCAACCUCGUGGAAACUGAUAAUACUGUUUUGCUUGAGUACAGGAGAGGUUAACGGAACUCCAUGUGGAGCGGUAAAAUGUGUAGAUAUAUGGAAGAACAUCAAUAACGGCGAAGGCAGUUAACUAUUCUGUUACUGACGUUGAGGCACGAAAGCGUGGGGAGCAAAAAGG